rnacentral:rRNA from 1 species
AUUGAACGCUGGCGGCAGGCCUAACACAUGCAAGUCGAACGAGUGGCGGACGGGAGAGUAAUGUCUGGGAAACCGCCUGAGGGAGGGGGAACAAUACUGGAAACUAUAGCUAAUAACACAUACUAUCGGAUGUGCCCAGAGGGGAUUAGCGAGUAGGUGGGGUAACGGCGCACCUAGGCGACGAUCCCUAGCUGGUCUGAGAGGAUGACCCGCCACACUGGAACUGAGACACGGUCCAGACUCCUACGGGAGGCAGCAGUGGGGAAUAUUGCACAAUGGGCGCAAGCCUGAUGCAGCCAUGCCGCGUGUAUGAAGAAGGCCUUCGGGUUGUAAAGUACUUUCAGCGGGGAGGCGUUACCCGCAGAAGAAGCACCGGCUAACUCCGUGCCAGCAGCCGCGGUAAUAC